UACGGGGGGGGCAAGCGUUGUUCGGAAUUACUGGGCGUAAAGGGCUCGUAGGUGGCCAACUAAGUCAGACGUGAAAUCCCCAGGCUCAACUUGGGAACUGCGUCUGAUACUGGAUGGCUUGAAUUCGGGAGAGGGAUGCAGAAUUCCAGGUGUAGCGGUGAAAUGCGUAGAUAUCUGGAGGAGUACCGGUGGCGAAGGCGGCAUCCUGGACCGAGAUUGACACUGAUGAGCGAAAGCCAGGGGAGCAAACGGG
rnacentral:rRNA from 1 species